UGAGGAAUAUUGGUCAAUGGACGCAAGUCUGAACCAGCCAAGUAGCGUGCAGGAUGACGGCCCUAUGGGUUGUAAACUGCUUUUAUUUGGGGAUAAAGUGGGGAACGUGUUCCCUUUUGCAGGUACCAUAUGAAUAAGGACCGGCUAAUUCCGUGCCAGCAGCCGCGGUAAUACGGAAGGUUCGGGCGUUAUCCGGAUUUAUUGGGUUUAAAGGGAGCGUAGGCCGUUUGGUAAGCGUGUUGUGAAAUGUAGGAGCUCAACUUCUAGAUUGCAGCGCGAACUGUCAGACUUGAGUGCGCACAACGUAGGCGGAAUUCAUGGUGUAGCGGUGAAAUGCUUAGAUAUCAUGAAGAACUCCGAUUGCGAAGGCAGCUUACGGGAGCGCAACUGACGCUGAAGCUCGAAGGUGCGGGUAUCGAACAGG
rnacentral:rRNA from 1 species